GUUAGAGUGGCAGAGCCCGGCGAAUGCAAAAGACCUAAGCCCUUUUUACAGAGGUUCAAGUCCUCUCCCUAACU
rnacentral:tRNA from 1 species